GCCUGGGUGGCUCAGUUGGUUGGGCGUCUGACUUUCGCUCAGGUCAUGAUCUCACAGUUCGUGGGUUCGAGCCCCACGUCGGGCU
rnacentral:tRNA from 1 species